UACGGGGGGGGCAAGCGUUGUUCGGAAUUACUGGGCGUAAAGGGUUCGUAGGUGGCCCGCUAAGUCACACGUGAAAUCCCUCAGCUUAACUGGGGAACUGCGUGUGAGACUGGCAGGCUUGAGUGCAGGAGAGGAACGCGGAAUUCCAGGUGUAGCGGUGAAAUGCGUAGAUAUCUGGAGGAACACCGGUGGCGAAGGCGGCGUUCUGGACUGCAACUGACACUGAGGAACGAAAGCCAGGGGAGCAAACGGG
rnacentral:rRNA from 1 species